AACUAAAUUUUACUACUUCUGUCAAUUUAAGCUCUUUGACAUCCAUUGCAAAGGUGAUUUUACCCAAGAAUAUUAAAAAUGUCACAAGCAGUGAGAACAUCGAUGUAGCAUCAACUUUAUACAAGAAAGGAAACUUCUUUCCAGUUUGUGAAGAAGUGAACUCUUCAUCAUCAGUAAUGACAGUGGUAGGUUCAGCUGUUAUCAGUAUAAUAGUUGGUGGAAUACCUGAUGGUACUGAACUGAUUGAUCCAGUUACAAUCAUUUUAGCAUUAAAUGAAGAAAAUGUUACAAAUCCUCGUUGUGCUUUCUGGAACUUUACUGGAGCAGAUGGUAUUGGUAAUUGGUCCAUUGAUGGUUGUACUACAGUAGUUGAUCCCAAUGAUCUCAGU